rnacentral:rRNA from 1 species
UACGUAGGGACCAAGCGUUGUUCGGAUUUACUGGGCGUAAAGGGCGCGUAGGCGGCCAGCGCAAGUCAGUUGUGAAAUCUCCGAGCUUAACUCGGAAAGGUCAACUGAUACUGCGCGGCUAGAGUGCAGAAGGGGCAACUGGAAUUCCUGGUGUAGCAGUGAAAUGCGUAGAUAUCAGGAGGAACGCCAAUGGCGAAGGCAAGUCUCUGGACAGUUCCUGACGCUCAUGCACGAAGGCCAGGGGAGCAAACGGG